rnacentral:rRNA from 1 species
UACGGAGGGUGCGAGCGUUGUUCGGAAUCACUGGGCGUAAAGGGCGUGUAGGCGGUCCGCUAAGUCUGAUGUGAAAGCCCGGGGCUCACCCCCGGAAGUGCAUUGGAAACUGGCGGACUCGAGUCCCGGAGAGGAGAGUGGAAUUCCUGGUGUAGCGGUGAAAUGCGUAGAUAUCUGGAGGAACACCGGUGGCGAAGGCGGCAUCCUGGACCAACACUGACGCUGAGGAGCGAAAGCCAGGGGAGCAAACGGG